rnacentral:rRNA from 1 species
AACGAACGCUGGCGGCAGGCUUAACACAUGCAAGUCGAGCGCCCCGCAAGGGGAGCGGCAGACGGGUGAGUAACGCGUGGGAAUCUACCCAUCUCUACGGAAUAACGCAUGGAAACGUGUGCUAAUACCGUAUACGUCCUUAGGGAGAAAGAUUUAUCGGAGAUGGAUGAGCCCGCGUUGGAUUAGCUAGUUGGUGGGGUAAAGGCCUGCCAAGGCGACGAUCCAUAGCUGGUCGGUGAGGAUGAUCAGCAACACUGGGACGGAGACACGGCCCAGACUCCUACGGGAGGCAGCAGUGGGGAAUAUUGGACAAUGGGCGCAAGCCUGAUCCAGCCAUGCCGCGUGAGUGAUGAAGGCCCUAGGGUUGUAAAGCUCUUUCACCGGUGAAGAUAAUGACGGUACCCGGAGAAGAAGCCCCGGCUAACUUCGUGCCAGCCGCCGCCGUAACAC